UACGGAGGGGACUAGCGUUGUUCGGAAUUACUGGGCGUAAAGCGCACGUAGGCGGAUCUGUAAGUCAGGGGUGAAAUCCCGGGGCUCAACCUCGGAACUGCCUUUGAUACUGCAAAUCUCGAGUCCGGAAGAGGUGAGUGGAAUUCCUAGUGUGGAGGUGAAAUUCGUAGAUAUUAGGAAGAACACCAGUGGCGAAGGCGGCUCACUGGUCCGGUACUGACGCUGAGGUGCGAAAGCGUGGGGAGCAAACAGG
rnacentral:rRNA from 1 species